UUCAUGACUGACAUUCAUUUU
rnacentral:piRNA from 1 species